AGAAGGUUAGUCUAACCAAGACAGUUGAUUUCGACUCAACAAAUCAUAGCCUAAUUCUAUGACCUUCUU
rnacentral:tRNA from 1 species